UUGAACGCUGGCGGCAGGCCUAACACAUGCCAGUCGAGCGGAUGAAGGGAGCUUGCUCCUGGAUUCAGCGGCGGACGGGUGAGUAAUGCCUAGGAAUCUGCCUGGUAGUGGGGGAUAACGUCCGGAAACGGGCGCUAAUACCGCAUACGUCCUGAGGAAGAAAGUGGGGGAUCUUCGGACCUCACGCUAUCAGAUGAGCCUAGGUCGGAUUAGCUAGUUGGUGGGGUAAAGGCCUACCAAGGCGACGAUCCGUAACUGGUCUGAGAGGAUGAUCAGUCACACUGGAACUGAGACACGGUCCAGACUCCUACGGGAGGCAGCAGUGGGGAAUAUUGGACAAUGGGCGAAAGCCUGAUCCAGCCAUGCCGCGUGUGUGAAGAAGGUCUUCGGAUUGUAAAGCACUUUAAGUUGGGAGGAAGGGCAGUAAGUUAAUACCUUGCUGUUUUGACGUUACCAACAGAAUAAGCACCGGCUAACUUCGUG
rnacentral:rRNA from 1 species